rnacentral:rRNA from 1 species
UACGUAGGGUGCAAGCGUUGUCCGGAAUUAUUGGGCGUAAAGAGCUCGUAGGCGGCUUGUCACGUCGGGUGUGAAAGCCCGGGGCUUAACCCCGGGUCUGCAUUCGAUACGGGCUAGCUAGAGUGUGGUAGGGGAGAUCGGAAUUCCUGGUGUAGCGGUGAAAUGCGCAGAUAUCAGGAGGAACACCGGUGGCGAAGGCGGAUCUCUGGGCCAUUACUGACGCUGAGGAGCGAAAGCGUGGGGAGCAAACAGG